CCCCGGUGUCUCCACUUUAUGCCUCCCCACACGGAAAACCCACUGCCGGGUCCCAAAAAAUGGUACAAGAAAGGUAAUGCAGAACCCGAGCUUCUUGGCAUUUACAGUUCCGUUUAGGAAACAAAAUGGAAAUAACUGUAAAGAAAAUUGUGAGCCGUUUCUGCAAUAAAUGUUUAAGAGUCGAACAAGCAGAUUUGAGAAGAAAGAACUCACGAUAUGACAAGGGAACGCUUCAGGCCGACAGUGGGAUGAGAGCAGAGUCCUUUAUGAGAGCGAAAUUUGAAAGGGUUGGCCUGGGCCUGCCACAGCUCGGGUCUCUGGUUUCAUUCUCCCCCACUCUCAUCUGCUUCGGAACCAAGAAAGAACACGGGGGCCCAGGCCUCCUCUGGAUGCAGUUGAGGUGCGCGCAAAAUAUGCUCUGCUCUGAGACCACUGCUUUGAGGAGGCGGGUCGCCAUCACCCAGUGCUAUUUCCCUAAGAGAGUCGGCGGGCAGCUCAGGGACCAACAACUUGUGCAGAGAACACAGCAUGCAGUGGUCCUGCUCUGCCACCAUGACACCAUUUGCUGACAGGGAUCUCAGCUGGUUUCUGCGAUGGAACAUGGGAGUGAAACUUAAGGCACAUCUAAGAAUGCUCUGUGUAUUGGAUUUCGCUAAAAAGCAGUCAACUUUAAGCUUGAGAUCCUGCAUCCCUUCCUGGAUAGGGCAAGAAGUCACCAACUUCUCUCGCUGAAGUCACACCCAGCCCACAUCCUCUCCAUCCUCCCACAUGAACUCCUCUCAUCCUAUCCGCUCUGAACGUGUGCACCUGCCCACACCCACACCUGCCUCCUCCAGUCGUGAGUUCUCAACAGCCAUUUAUCUUUCACAUAUAAAUGAAGGAGAUAUACAUAAAUGUGUGUGUGUGUGUGUGUAUAUAUAUAUAUAUAUCAUGCAUACAUUCUAAGGGAACAUGAGUAGAAGAAGAGAGACCAUUUUGAGAUAAGACGUGACAGCUGAAUCAGUGUUCAAUUUUAUAGAUGCAUACACUCAUAUGUAUGUGUAAGCAUAUGUAUAUAUUUUUUAUUUUACCAUUUGCAAGUUGUUUUCAUGAUGUCGUUUGAUAAUUAGAAUAUCAUUUGAAGGAAGUGGUAGUAUUAUUCCCAUUUUGCAAAUAAAUGAAUCUAUAAUUUCA
rnacentral:lncRNA from 1 species